UACGUAGGGUGCAAGCGUUGUCCGGAAUUAUUGGGCGUAAAGAGCUCGUAGGCGGUCUGUCGCGUCGGCUGUGAAAACCCGAGGCUCAACCUCGGGCCUGCAGUCGAUACGGGCAAACUGGAGUGUUGCAGGGGAGACCGGAAUUCCUGGUGUAGCGGUGGAAUGCGCAGAUAUCAGGAGGAACACCGGUGGCGAAGGCGGGUCGCUGGGCCAUUCCUGACGCUGAGACGCGAAAGCUAGGGGAGCGAACAGG
rnacentral:rRNA from 1 species